rnacentral:rRNA from 1 species
CCUACGGGUGGCAGCAGUGGGGGAUAUUGCACAAUGGGGGAAACCCUGAUGCAGCGACGCCGCGUGGGUGAAGAAGCGCCUCGGCGCGUAAAGCCCUGUCAGCAGGGAAGAAAAUUACGGUACCUGAAGAAGAAGCCCCGGCUCACUACGUGCCAGCAGCCGCGGGAAUACGUAGGGGGCCAGCGUUAUCCGGAUUUACUGGGUGUAAAGGGGGCGCAGACGGCGAUGAAAGCCAGGAGUGAAAGCCCGGGGCCCAACCCCGGGACUGCGCUUGGAACUGCGUGGCUAGAGUGCAGGAGGGGCAGGCGGAAUGCCUGGUGUAGCGGUGAAAUGCGUAGAUAUCAGGAGGAACACCGGUGGCGAAGGCGGCCUGCUGGACUGCAACUGACGUUGAGGCCCGAAAGCGUGGGGAGCAAACAGGAUUAGAUACCAGAGUAGUC